GAGCCACUAGCUCAGUUGGCAGAGCAUUUCACUUUUAAUGAAAGGGUCUGGAGUUCGAAUCUCCAGUGGCUCACCA
rnacentral:tRNA from 2 species